UUGGUUAAGUUAGAAAGGGCGCACGGUGGAUGCCUUGGCACUAGGAGCCGAAGAAGGACGGGACUAACACCGAUAUGCUUUGGGGAGCUGUACGUAAGCGUUGAUCCAGAGAUUUCCGAAUGGGGGAACCCACUAUCUUUAGUCGGAUAGUAUCCUUACGUGAAUACAUAGCGUGAGGAAGGCAGACCCAGGGAACUGAAACAUCUAAGUACCUGGAGGAAGAGAAAGAAAAAUCGAUUUCCUGAGUAGCGGCGAGCGAAACGGAAAGAGCCCAAACCAAGAAGCUUGCUUCUUGGGGUUGUAGGACACUCUAUACGGAGUUACAAAAGAAAGUUAUAAAUGAAGCGGUCUGGAAAGGCCCGCCAAAGACGGUAACAGCCCGGUAGUUGAAAUAGCUUUCCCUCCAGAGUGGAUCCUGAGUACGGCGGAACACGUGAAAUUCCGUCGGAAUCCGGGAGGACCAUCUCCCAAGGCUAAAUACUCCCUAGUGACCGAUAGUGAACCAGUACCGUGAGGGAAAGGUGAAAAGCACCCCGGAAGGGGAGUGAAACAGUUCCUGAAACCGUGUGCCUACAAGUAGUUAGAGCCCGUUAAUGGGUGAUAGCGUGCCUUUUGUAGAAUGAACCGGCGAGUUACGAUUUGUUGCAAGGUUAAGCGGAAAAAGCGGAGCCGUAGCGAAAGCGAGUCUGAAUAGGGCGCAUAAGUAACAGGUCGUAGACCCGAAACCAGGUGAUCUACCCAUGUCCAGGAUGAAGGUAAGGUAAUACUUACUGGAGGUCCGAACCCACGCACGUUGAAAAGUGCGGGGAUGAGGUGUGGGUAGCGGAGAAAUUCCAAUCGAACUUGGAGAUAGCUGGUUCUCUCCGAAAUAGCUUUAGGGCUAGCCUCGAGGUAAAGAGUCAUGGAGGUAGAGCACUGUUUGGACUAGGGGCCCUUCUCGGGUUACCGAAUUCAGAUAAACUCCGAAUGCCAUGUACUUAUACUCGGGAGUCAGACUGCGAGUGAUAAGAUCCGUAGUCGAAAGGGAAACAGCCCAGACCACCAGUUAAGGUCCCCAAAUAUAUGUUAAGUGGAAAAGGAUGUGGGGUUGCUUAGACAACCAGGAUGUUGGCUUAGAAGCAGCCACCAUUGAAAGAGUGCGUAAUAGCUCACUGGUCGAGUGACCCCGCGCCGAAAAUGUACCGGGGCUAAACAUAUUACCGAAACUGUGGAUGAACCUCUUUAGAGGUUCGUGGUAGGAGAGCGUUCUAAGGGCGGUGAAGUCAGACCGGAAGGACUGGUGGAGCGCUUAGAAGUGAGAAUGCCGGUAUGAGUAGCGAAAGAAGGGUGAGAAUCCCUUCCACCGAAUAUCUAAGGUUUCCUGAGGAAGGCUCGUCCGCUCAGGGUUAGUCGGGACCUAAGCCGAGGCCGAUAGGCGUAGGCGAUGGACAACAGGUAGAGAUUCCUGUACCAGUGCUAAUUGUUUAACCGAUGGGGUGACACAGAAGGAUAGGGAAUCGCACGAAUGGAAAUGUGCGUCCAAGCAGUGAGUGUGAGAAGUAGGCAAAUCCGCUUCUCGCGAAGCAUGAGCUGUGAUGGGGAAGGAAAUUAAGUACGGAAGUUCCUGAUUUCACGCUGUCAAGAAAAGCCUCUAGGAAGAGUAGUACUGCCCGUACCGCAAACCGACACAGGUAGAUGAGGAGAGAAUCCUAAGGUGAGCGAGAGAACUCUCGUUAAGGAACUCGGCAAAAUGAC
rnacentral:rRNA from 1 species